rnacentral:lncRNA from 1 species
GGAGCACUGGGCGGUUUUGGGCGGGGAGUGGCAUGCAGUGACUCGGGGAGCGGCGGCGGGGGGGGGGACAGGAGGCAGCUGGGUGGCCACAUUUUCCGUGGUCUCUACCCCCUCCCCAUGCCAGAGAGUCCUCACAGCCAGCUGGCCCGAAAGGACAGAAAUCCUAUCCUGGCCACAGGACCAGGGUCCGGGCUCACUGUGGACAUUGUCUCCCUGUCCUCUUCUGCCUGGGGGAGGACUUUAAGGCCCCUGUUGGGGCCUCCGUUUGGGUUCGUCUGCUGGUUCGACUGGGGGUUUGGAGGGAGCCCACAGAGCUGGAGUGCCCUUCUUAUGACGUCGUAUCUAAGAGGUUGGUUCGUGCGCUUUCUCUCCAAGCAUCAGGCUCAACUCACCGGAGGAGGAAAGCGAAGCCUCUGGGCGCUUGUGACAGCUGACAUAUUCCCAGCAAGCUGAGGGAUGGUUCCCAUUAAAUGAGGAUUUAUGAUCAAUCCCCGCAAAUUAAGGCUGCCUCGUGAGCUGCAGGUGAGACCCUCGCCAGUGAGUCUUUGUUAAUUAGCAUCCUGGCUUGUUCGGGAGAAGAAAAGCCAGAGUGUGUGUUUGUUGAAAAUGUGCCUUUCCAUUUCGGGGCAGCUGUCUCCGGUGCCGACGGCACAGAUCGGGGACGGGCGGGCAGCUGCCUGCUGUGGGCCACACUAUGGGUGGCCCUUGCCCUAGGGUUAGACGGUCUGUUCGAGCAUCCUGAUUCUAGAGGGAUCAGAACGAAUGCCCCUUCUGGGUACUCAGUUUUGCUUUGGGAUACAAUCAGAGAUCAAAGACAUCUCUCUCUUCCUCUGCAACUCACACACACUGGCCCCUGCACACACCUCUGCUCUGUGCUCUGUUUCUUAUCAGUUCCGUGCCCUCCUCAGCUGCUGAACUUUCCCUCGCAUGUCUCCGUCUCUAAAGAGGGGUAGCACGGUAACACCCCUGCAGCUGGUUGGAUUGUGUCUCACUCCCACCAAAAAUAUGUCGGUAUCUCAACCCCUGGUGCCUGUGCAUGUGGCCUGAUUUCGAAUUAGGUUCUUUGCAGUUGUAAUUAAUUCAGGACCUUGAGAAGAGGUUAUCCUGGGUCAGGGUGGGCCCUACACCCACAGGCUGGUGUCUUUAUGGGGAGAGGAGAGGACCAGCAGACAUGCAGAGAAGAAAAUGAUAUGAAGAUUAGGCGUGAGGUGGCCACAAGCCAGGGAGCCUCCACGUGCUGGGAAGCCACAUGAAGGAUUCUGCCCGAGAGUCUUUAAAAAAAAAUUUUUUUAAUGUUUGUUUUAUUUUUUAAGUGAGAGGGACAGAGUGGGAGCAGGGGAGGGGCAGAGAGAGAGAGAGGGAGACAUAGAAUCCAAAGCAGGCUCUAGGCUCCGAGCUGUCAGCACAGAGCCCGAUGCGGGGCUCGAACUCACAAACUGCAAGAUCGUGACUU